GGAAGCGGCGAGUCUCCAUGGCGGCGGCGGCGGCGGCGCCGGUGUUCUGGAGGCGGCUGCUGGGUCUGCUGCCGGGCCGGCCCGGGCUGGCCGCGCUCCUGGGGCGCCUGUCCGACCGCCUGGGCAGGAGCCGGGACCGCCGGCGCAGGUCACCAUGGCUGCUGUUGGCUCCCUUGCUAUCUCCAGCUGUCCCCCAGGCCACCUCCCCACCUUGCUGCCUGUGUCCAGAAGGUGUGCACCGGUUUCAGUGGAUCAGAAGCCUGGUUCCAGAGUUCGGCGUCUGUAGCUCUCAUGUCAGGGUGCUGUCCUCCCCAGCAGAGUUCUUCCAGCUCAUGAAGGGGCAGAUAAAAGUAGCCAAGAGGCGGGUCGUGAUGGCAUCUCUCUACCUGGGGACAGGUCCUUUGGAGCAAGAGCUGGUGGAUUGCCUGGAAAGUACUCUAGAAGAGUCUCUGCAAGCAAAAUUUCCAUCUGACCUCAAGGUCUCCAUUCUCCUGGAUUUCACCCGGGGCUCAAGAGGCAAAAAGAACUCUCGCACAAUGUUGCUUCCACUCCUGCAGAGGUUUCCAGAGCAAGUGCGCGUCUCCCUCUUCCACACGCCCGACCUCCGUGGUCUUCUCCGGCUCCUUGUCCCUGAGCGCUUCAAUGAGACCAUUGGCCUCCAGCACAUCAAAGUAUACCUCUUUGAUAACAGUGUCAUCUUGAGCGGUGCAAACCUGAGUGACUCCUACUUCACCAACCGCCAGGACCGCUACGUGUUCUUGCAGGACUGUGCGGAGAUUGCCGACUUCUUCACGGAACUGGUGGAUGCAGUGGGAGACGUGUCCCUACAGCUGCAGGGGGACAACACGGUGCAGGUGGUGGAUGGAAUGGUGCAUCCUUACAAAGGUGACCGGGCUGCAUACUGCAAGGCCGCCAAUAAGCGGGUCAUGGAUGUGAUCCACUCCGCCCGGACUCGCCAGCAGAUGCUGCAUGCCCAGACCUUCCACGGGGACUCCUUACUGACACAGGAGGAGGCAGCAGCUGCUGGUGAUCGCAGACCAGCACCCGACACCUGGAUUUAUCCAUUGAUACAGAUGAAGCCCUUUGAGAUCCAGAUUGAUGAGAUUGUCACAGAGACCCUGCUGACUGAGGCUGAGCGAGGUGCUAGGGUCUACCUUACAACGGGCUACUUCAAUCUGACCCAGGCCUACAUGGACCUGGUCUUGGGUACACGGGCAGAGUACCAGAUCCUGCUGGCCUCUCCAGAGGUGAAUGGCUUCUUUGGAGCCAAGGGGGUGGCAGGUGCCAUCCCUGCAGCCUAUGUGCACAUUGAGCGGCAGUUCUAUAGCGAGGUGUGCAGCCUGGGGCAGCAGGAGCGAGUUCAGCUACAGGAAUACUGGAGGAGGGGCUGGACAUUCCAUGCCAAAGGCCUCUGGCUGUACCUGGCAGGGAGCAGCCUGCCCUGUCUCACGCUGAUUGGCUCUCCUAAUUUUGGGUACAGGUCAGUUCACCGGGACCUGGAGGCCCAGAUCGCCAUCGUGACAGAGAGCCGAUCCCUGCAGCAGCAGCUCCACCAGGAGCAAGAGCAGCUCUACUUGCGGUCAGGUGUGGUGUCCUCUGCCACCUUUGAGCAGCCCAGUCGGCAGGUGAAGCUGUGGGUGAAGAUGGUGACUCCACUGAUCAAGAACUUCUUCUGAGGACGCCAGGAUGUUGCUGAGUUGCUGAGGCUGGCCUUGAACUUGCAAUCCUCCUGCCUCAGCCUCCUGGGUUGCUGGGAUUACAGGAAUGGCUUUGAUGAAGAUGACAGGCAUGGCCGGCGUCAGCUCCUUCAGACGCGCUUCAGCGAUGACUCCAGUCUGGGUGUCCCAGCGAGCUCCUGCAGGGACAGCGUGGCCGAGGGUCAGGGCAGCCCUGGUGCAGCGAACAGGUCUUGUCUGGUGUGCUGGCAGUGAGGGGAGGGGCCCACAGGGAGAGGCCUGGCCUCACACCCCCCCCCCCAACCCUUUGCAAGGAGGUCAGUGCCCCUGAGACUCCUGAAGAGUUGAGGCCAGGUGCCAAGGGCAGGGGGUGCAGGUGUCCACAGAGGACACUGUGGGUGGUGGUGGCAUGCUGUGGUGCCCCGGGCAUCUCGCUGUGCACUGAGGAACAGCUCCGCACUAAUGCUCUUGGGUUCCAUCCAUUUAAAUUUGUGGUGUUUCCAGAGCCUCGUCUGUCGGCCUUCUCACUUUCAGUGGCAAGAAAUCAUAACUCCAACUGAAGAUCACCAAGUUCCCUGACUCCCUCGUGUGUCACGUCUAGCCUGUGUGUCCAUAUGCAGCAUAAUCAUCUAUGUGCAUAUAUAAAUAUUAUUUGCCUUUAACCAGACUGCUGCCAUUUCUACUCAUCAUAUUCAAUAAUGUUUGUACUUUGUCUGGAAUUCCAAAAUAAAUGUGGGGAACGGC